rnacentral:rRNA from 1 species
CGGACGGGUGAGUAAUGUCUGGGAAACUGCCUGAUGGAGGGGGGUAACUACUGGAAACGGUAGCUAAUACCGCAUAACGUCGCAAGACCAAAGAGGGGGACCUUCGGGCCUCUUGCCAUCGGAUGUGCCCAGAUGGGAUUAGCUAGUAGGUAAGGUAACGGCUUACCUAGGCGACGAUCCCUAGCUGGUCUGAGAGGGUGAUCAGCCACACUGGGACUGAGACACGGCCCAG